AUGCCUGGUUUUACAGCUUAUGUUGGAUUCUAUGAGAUCUGCUCACCGAAGAAAGGAGAGUUUGUCUUUGUUUCUGCUGCAUCAGGAGCAGUUGGUCAGAUUGUUGGUCAACUUGCAAAGCUCCAUGGCUGCUAUGUUGUCGGAAGUGCCGGAACAAAUCAGAAAGUUGAACUCCUAAAAGAUAAGUUUGGAUUCGAUGAAGCUUUUAAUUACAAAGAGGAGCCUGACUUGACUGCAGCCCUAAAAAGGUACUUUCCUGAAGGUAUUGACAUCUACUUCGAGAAUGUAGGCGGACCAAUGCUAGAUGCUGUACUCCUUAACAUGCGGAUGCAUGGUCGCAUAGCAGUAUGUGGGAUGGUCUCCCAGCACGGCAUGACUGAUCCUUCAGGGAUCCACAACCUCUUCUGUCUGGUGCCGAAACGGAUCAGUAUGAAGGGCUUCAUCCAGAGUGAUUACAUCAAGUUAUUCCCACAGUUCGUCGAUUACAUGACCAAGCAUUACAAGGAUGGCAAGAUUGAAUAUGUAGAAGACAUGAGCAUCAGGCUAGAGAAUGCGCCAGCUGCCUUUGUUGGUCUAUUCAGUGGUAAAAAUGUUGGCAAACAAGUCGUGUGCGUGUCACAAGAGUGA
rnacentral:rRNA from 1 species